rnacentral:lncRNA from 1 species
GGACAUUUUGCUGCGGUCUAGCGCGGGAGGCGGGGUUUUGGGUUCGCUGGUCCAGGUGCGCGCGGUGUCCCAGGUCUUCGCGCCAGGUUGGCGCGGGAGAAGGCCGAGGUGCCCCAGAGUUCGAGGAGUUGGUGACGGUCACGCGGUGCGACGCUCCAUGGCGGAGGGGCAGUCGGAAAGUGAAUAGCACUCGUUAAAAGCGACCAGUCCGUAAGGGCGCGUGUGUCGGCGCCGUUACGGACCCCAGCGCUCGGGGUCGUUAAACCGUUUAAGUCGCGUCCCGCCCAGUGAGGGCUAUGUUAGCGUCCUCGCCGUUUCCAGCCGUGAAGGAGGCACUGAGACGACAGCUGAGGGUCUCUCCGUUAAGGCUGUCGCUGCUGUAGGGGCCCUCGCCCGCUGCGUGUUUGUGCCACCCAGCGUACUGGGUGCUUUUUCAAAAUUUUAUCAUGGACGUCUCAAAACACACGUGUGACUUAGAUGGUAAAAGUUUCAUUUUUCAUUUAAAGAAGUUGAGGCUCGGUAGUUAAGGUUUAAUUCUCCAUCACUUAAUACUCUCGUAGUUUUUUGAGUUGGACUGUCAUGAACAUGUGCUCUCACAAGGCCUCAUGGCCAUUAACACCAGUAGCCCCAGUAGGAGGAUCAAGCUCCUCGGAGUUAGCCCCAUGUUGGAACUUGAACAGUGACACUUUGGGGAUAUUGUGUGUGUUUUUAGGGGAUAGGGAAGGGUGAUCUUGAGUAAGGAGCCCUGGCCUUAUCCUAGCUUCAGAAAGACCCAAACUGGGAAAGAAUGAGAAUAGAAAAAACAAUCUGCCUACCUGUUUUAGAUUUGGUACCUCACCAAACUCUUGUUACCUAGCUAACUUUAUGAGAUUAGCCCAAAUAUUUUAAGAAAAUAUUAUAUAUAUCUGAUCAAGAACAACUGAAGAAAAGGCAAAAGCCCAUUUCAUUUAAGAACAGAUGCAGGGUUCAAAUAAAGUAUUAGCAAAUUGAAUCACCACUCCCUGCCAGGAAGUAUUAUUAAAAUCAAUAACAAGGACAGGAUAAGUCACAAGCAAAAUCCAUAAAUGUGCCAAAAUAUGGCACCUUGGCAGUUGAGAAAACCACAGAAGCAAGGUCUCUGUAAGUAAUCUGCUCCCUCCCAUAAAGCAGGGUCAUAAAGGAAUUCACUGGCCUACCUCAUGUGAAGUAGGUUGUAAGACCCUCAUUCCAGAGGAGUCUUGUGCCAUACCUGGGGAGGAGAAGUGUCAUGCAGAGACGCAAGAAAGAAUCUGAGCAAACGGGCCAUGCCGAAGUCUCCUCCCACCCCUAUGUAUGACCAUUAGAUGAUGCCCCUUUUGUCCAAUCAUGUUUCUGC